AUGUAGUAUUUAUUUGAAAGUACAUAGUAUGUAUGCUAGUAAUUGGCGCUGGUGUGCGCCGCGCCUUUUUUUUGUUCACAUUGUUGCGUCAGCCGAUCACUACGUUCGGGGUACAUACAUAAACAUAAUAUUCCAAAGAUAUUGUAUGUAGUGUAAUAUAUAUAUACAAUAUAUAUUGUAUAUAUGUAACAUACGACUGUAUAUAAGGACGUAUGCAAGUGAUGCGUACAUAUAUAUAUACAUUAUCAUGUAAAUAAUGGAACCAGAAAGAUAAAUAUAAAAUGUCAACCGAAGGUUAUAUAUACCACGUUGUCUCGAUUUAAAAAAGGGCACAAAUUUUGAAAAUUACUAUUUCAGAAUUAAAUUACAAUUGAAUGAGAAGGGUGUGGCAGAAAUUUCAGAUAUCGCAGUCACAAAAAGCAAACAAACCAUAAAAUGCCAGAGCCAUCAUUCCGAGGUGUUCACCGAAUCAGAAAAUAUGUGGUGGCUAAAGCUUAUCUGAAAAUUUUUUAGGAAGCAGGCAAUGGGAGAAAUAGAUGAUUCUCUGACUUCUUUUUUUGUCUAUUCAAUUGUAUGUGCAAGCAAUAUAAAUGCUAGAAGACUCAACAAUAAUAGAUCAGCUUUAACAAAAGAUUGGAAUUUUUGGAGAAACAUCAGAUGUAAUUUUGAUUAAUAUCAAAAAUAAUUUGUUAUCAA